GCCGGCGUGGUGGAAUUGGCAGACGCGCGGGACUCAAAAUCCCGUGGUAGCGAUACCGUGUGGGUUCGACCCCCACCGCCGGCACCA
rnacentral:tRNA from 1 species